GAGGCUCGGAUAAUCCUUCGAGUAAAAGACUCGUCCCUACAACGGUUGGACUCAGACAAGAGUUGCGCAAUAGGGCCAAAUCCAGCACUCUAAGAUUAUUCAACCCUGCUCACAUGUGUUGUGACGUAUUCACCUAAUGGUUAACUCCCAUCACUCAGAGUCUCACAAAGCACAAAGCAAACAGCAUUCAGACAUAGGAAACUACUCAAGCGAAUCUAUUCUCAUAACGAGAAACUGCACCAGCAUACAAUGCUAAGCUCAUACUAUCAGACAUAACCUAAACAUGCUAUCCUACUACUGUCUACUCACUACUAGCAUGCAAUUCUCAUAAGGCUGCAACACAUAAGCAGGCACAUAAGGCAUCCUCUUAGAUCCUUGGUCCUAUACUAGCAUGCUGUUCUACUGAAGCUGAAACUGAAAUAAAANCAGACAUAACCUAAACAUGCUAUCCUACUACUGUCUACUCACUACUAGCAUGCAAUUCUCAUAAGGCUGCAACACAUAAGCAGGCACAUAAGGCAUCCUCUUAGAUCCUU
rnacentral:lncRNA from 1 species